rnacentral:rRNA from 1 species
AUUGAACGCUGGCGGCAGGCCUAACACAUGCAAGUCGAGCGGAUGAAGGGAGCUUGCUCUUGGAUUCAGCGGCGGACGGGUGAGUAAUGCCUAGGAAUCUGCCUGGUAGUGGGGGACAACGUUUCGAAAGGAACGCUAAUACCGCAUACGUCCUACGGGAGAAAGCAGGGGACCUUCGGGCCUUGCGCUAUCAGAUGAGCCUAGGUCGGAUUAGCCAGUUGGUGAGGUAAUGGCUCACCAAGGCGACGAUCCGUAACUGGUCUGAGAGGAUGAUCAGUCACACUGGAACUGAGACACGGUCCAGACUCCUACGGGAGGCAGCAGUGGGGAAUAUUGGACAAUGGGCGAAAGCCUGAUCCAGCCAUGCCGCGUGUGUGAAGAAGGUCUUCGGAUUGUAAAGCACUUUAAGUUGGGAGGAAGGGUUGUAGAUUAAUACUCUGCAAUUUUGACGUUACCGACAGAAUAAGCACCGGCUAACUCUGUGCCAGCAGCCGCGGUAACAC